rnacentral:rRNA from 1 species
GAGUAGGGCGGGACACGUGUUAUCCUGUCUGAAUAUGGGGGGACCAUCCUCCAAGGCUAAAUACUCCUGACUGACCGAUAGUGAACCAGUACCGUGAGGGAAAGGCGAAAAGAACCCCUGUGAGGGGAGUGAAAUAGAACCUGAAACCGUGUACGUACAAGCAGUAGGAGCACCUUCGUGGUGUGACUGCGUACCUUUUGUAUAAUGGGUCAGCGACUUAUAUUCAGUGGCAAGGUUAACCAUCUAGGGGAGCCGUAGGGAAACCGAGUCUUAACUGGGCGCCAUAGUCUCUGGAUAUAGACCCGAAACCGAGUGAUCUAGCCAUGGGCAGGUUGAAGGUUGAGUAACAUCAACUGGAGGACCGAACCGACUAAUGUUGAAAAAUUAGCGGAUGACUUGUGGCUAGGGGUGAAAGGCCAAUCAAACUCGGAGAUAGCUGGUUCUCCCCGAAAGCUAUUUAGGUAGCGCCUCGGACGAAUACUACUGGGGGUAGAGCACUGUUAAGGCUAGGGGGUCAUCCCGACUUACCAACCCUUUGCAAACUCCGAAUACCAGUAAGUACUAUCCGGGAGACACACGGCGGGUGCUAACGUCCGUCGUGGAGAGGGAAACAACCCAGACCGCCAGCUAAGGUCCCAAAUUACAGCUAAGUGGGAAACGAUGUGGGAAGGCUUAGACAGCUAGGAUGUUGGCUUAGAAGCAGCCAUCAUUUAAAGAAAGCGUAAUAGCUCACUAGUCGAGUCGGCCUGCGCGGAAGAUGUAACGGGGCUAAGUUGUAAACCGAAGCUGCGGCAAU